rnacentral:rRNA from 1 species
UACGAGGGGGGCGAGCGUUGUUCGGAAUUAUUGGGCGUAAAGGGCGCGUAGGCGGUCGGAUAAGGCUUGUGUGAAAUCUUCGGGCUCAACUCGAAGUCUGCACAGGAAACUAUCUGGCUUGAGUGUGGGAGAGGUGAGUGGAAUUCCUGGUGUAGCGGUGAAAUGCGUAGAUAUCAGGAGGAACACCUGUGGCGAAAGCGGCUCACUGGACCACAACUGACGCUGAGGCGCGAAAGCUAGGGGAGCAAACAGG